UGGGGAAUUUUGGACAAUGGGCGAAAGCCUGAUCCAGCAAUGCCGCGUGUGUGAAGAAGGCCUUCGGGUUGUAAAGCACUUUUGUCCGGAAAGAAAUCCUUGGCUCUAAUACAGUCGGGGGGAUGACGGUACCGGAAGAAUAAGCACCGGCUAACUACGUGCCAGCAGCCGCGGUAAUACGUAGGGUGCAAGCGUUAAUCGGAAUUACUGGGCGUAAAGCGUGCGCAGGCGGUUUGCUAAGACCGAUGUGAAAUCCCCGGGCUCAACCUGGGAACUGCAUUGGUGACUGGCAGGCUAGAGUAUGGCAGAGGGGGGUAGAAUUCCACGUGUAGCAGUGAAAUGCGUAGAGAUGUGGAGGAAUACCGAUGGCGAAGGCAGCCCCCUGGGCCAAUACUGACGCUCAUGCACGAAAGCGUGGGGGAGCAAACAGGAUUAGAUACCCUGGUAGUCCACGCCCUAAACGAUGUCAACUAGUUGUUGGGGAUUCAUUUCCUUAGUAACGUAGCUAACGCGUGAAGUUGACCGCCUGGGGAGUACGGUCGCAAGAUUAAAACUCAAAUGAAUUGACGGGGUC
rnacentral:rRNA from 1 species